GUUAAAGUUCGAUAGUUCUCGAAUGUGUUAAGAAAUUAUUCAAGUAAUUUAUUAAUUAGUGCGUUUGAUUAACGCAAAAGUUUUUAGUUUCGAUUAUAUUCAGUGAAGAGUGAUAUUUAUAAACAUUUUAUGAUCGAUUAAUAUAUUAAUAAUGUUAAUUGAAAAUCCAGAUGCUUUUAAAGCUUGGCUUACAUCUGUUUUGGAACCAUUAUGUGAUGCUGAUCCUGAAGCACUAGCUAAAUAUGUCUAUGCCCUUGUUCGUAAAGAUAGGCCGAUUGAGGCCCUUCGAGAAGGAAUGGUGGAACAAUUAGAUGUAUUUCUACAAAAAGAAACAAAACCAUUUGUUGAAUUGUUGUUUAAAACCCUUGAAAAACAAGAAUAUUUACAACAGCCAGCAACACCUAUUCCUAAUACGAAUCCACCAAAUCCAAAUAUACCACCAGUGAUUACAAAACCUGAUGUCCCUGAAGUGACAACGACAAAGGAAGUUAAACCUAUUAUACCCGUUUCAUCAUUACCUGACCUUACACUUGAAACCGUUAAUGGUACAGCAGCGGUUACAACAACGACAGUUAAAAAAGAUUUUGUUCGAGAAAAUGACACGCCAGUACCUCAUAGGAAAGAGCGUGAACAUAAAAAAUCAGAAUCGGAAAAAGAUGAAAAAGCACCCGCAACAGUCCGACCUGGACGAUUACGUCACAGAUCAAAUUCCAGAAAUCGUUCACGAUCACGAUCUUGGGAUCGAUCUAGACGAUCAAGAUCAAGGGAUCGAUCACGAGAGCGAGAAAGACGGGACAGAAGUAGACCAUGGCGUAAUAAGUCACCACCUCGACGAUAUGAAAGAAGGCGAUCUCGUUCAAAUUCACCGGUAAUUCCAAGGAAUCGAUCACCCAGACAUAGUUACAGAGGACGCUAUAGGAAUAGAUCACCACCAAGAUCUCAUUCACGAUCAAGAUCCAGAUCAUUAGAUAAAGAUAAAAAAGAUCAUAAAGAGCCAUUGUCCGGUGCUGGAACACCUACACAAGACUCUAAUCAUGGAGAUACAGACAUGCGAUUAAUAAGCAGUACUCAAAGUAUACAAUCUGUGGUAGCAAAUGCUGAUGUAAAUUCGGGUAGUGGAAAUUUUGUACCAAAUAAUACAGGACCGGUAUUUCAUGGAAAACGUCGAUGCCGUGAUUUUGAUGAAAAAGGAUAUUGUAUGCGGGGUGAUAUGUGUCCAUAUGAUCAUGGAAAUGAUCCUGUUGUUUUAGAAAAUACAACUCUUGGUACUGUUCUAGCAUUCGGACCAAAUGGACAACCACCUUUAGAAGGACCUCCAGCAAAUGAAAUGCUUGCACCACCAAUGAUCCGACCAAAUUCUGCGCAUGUAAUGCAUGGACAUCAUUUACCGCACAGGCCGAUGCACCCUGGAAUUCCACCAGAGUAUAAUCCAAGUGCACCAAGUAUGUGGAAUCGAAGUGGAUUCCGAGGAGGUCCUAUAUCUGGCCCUCCACGGCCUGGUAUGUUUCAUGGCCCUGGUUUACCCUUACUUGGUGGACCACAGCAAGGUUUAAAUGCACCACCUGGUCCUCAUAAUCUUGUACAAAGAGAAUUAAUUAGUGUACCUGUUUUGGAUAAUUCAUCCCAACAUAUGAAUGACGUCAUGUAUCCACGGACUGCUGAUUAUAUGUCUCUUCAAGAAAAUAUGGGAAUGAAGAAAAAACCUGGUUUUGAUUUUAAUAGACUUGGUCCAAGAACAAAGAAUCCUGUAAAUUGUUCCUUAGAAUUGAAAAAAGUGCCUCGUGAACUUAAUAAUAUAACACAUUUAAACAAUCAUUUUUCAAAGUUUGGAAAAAUUGUAAAUAUUCAGGUAAAUUAUGAAGGAGAUCCAGAAGCAGCGUUAAUAACAUUUUCUAGUCAUACUGAAGCAUAUGCAGCACAUCGUAGUACCGAGGCCGUUUUAAAUAAUCGAUUUAUUAAAGUUUUCUGGCAUUCAAAUGGUGACGGAAAACAAGAAAAUGUACCACCUAGGUCAGUGAAAGAACGUUUAGGUGGUCAACAAGUAACAAAUGUAUCAUCAAAUACGCAUAAAGUAUUAAACAUGGUACAACCAAAAGCAAAUACAACAGGAACUGGUACCACUCCAACAACAACAGCACAGAGUGAUGGAAAUAGUAAUUCAAACGAAGAAGAAAAUACUGACAAAAAUAAUAUGGUUGUAAAUAACACAGCCAAAUCACUUUAUUUUAUUCCUAGUGCCAAGAAAGAAAUGUUGGCUGAUAAUCGAGCUCAACAAAAUGCAGCCAUUAAAAAGAGUCAAGAGAUAUUGGCAUUCAAAGAACAAGUGAAAAAGAAGCAAGAAGAACGACGGAAAGAAGCCGCUCAACUUACGCAAGAUCUCAUUAAACGAAAACAAGAGUUAUUAGAUAAACAAUUGACUCAACAAAAAGUGUUAUUAGAUAAAUUAGAAAAAGUUGGUCCACAAGGUCCACAAAGAGAAACUAUUAAGGAAGCGAUACAAAAAUUACAACAAUCAAUUGAAGAUACUCGUAAAAGUUUAGUAGCUGCGGUAAAACAACGUUCUGUAACACAAGUAAGCGUUGCUGCCAAAAUAUCACAACAGAGGAAAUCAAAAGAUGAGGCUCAAAAAGAAUUAUUGGAUGCUGAAUUAGAUUUAAUCACAAAACAACAAGAAGGCGCUGACACCUCGGAUUUACAGAAAAAAGUUUUUGAAUUAAAGAAACAUGCACAACAAUUGGGUAUCCCAUUGAAUAGUAGACGCGGUUCAAUGCCACCAUUACGAAUUUCAAGGGGAUUCAAAUUUAUUCGCGGCAGUCGUAGUAGUCAUUCAUUUGCAAAUGCUAGUGUUGAUCAUCGACCGACUAAGUUAUUGGUAUCAGGAUAUGAAAUUGAAGAAAAAACUGAUGUAUUGGCUCAUUUUGCACAAUAUGGAGAAAUUUCCGAUUAUGUAUCUGAUGAUUCAACACCAAGUGUGGUAUUAAAUUUCAAAACCAGAAAAGAAGCAGAAUUGGCCAUGCUUAAAGGAAAACAUUUUCAGGAUCGUACGUUAUCGGUCACCUGGUGUACAAAUGUCCAAUUAAGUAAUCAACUAAGUACAAAUAGACGAGAUUCUCGUGCAGUUUUGUUAAGUGAAUCUGAUGAUGAUCAUUUAUUGGAUUCAAUACCUGAGGAUGAGUUAAAUGCUGAAGGUGUCGAUUUAUCAGAAGAAGCACUUCUUCAAGACGACGAAGAGGAGGAAGAGGAGAAUGAGGAAGAUCGUUCGUGGAGGCGAUAGCAGUUGUUAAAAAACACAAAAAGACAUUUGAAAACAAGUUAUGGUAUUACAUCAAAAAGGAGUUAGCUUUUAAAUUGAAUGGUUUUUUUAUGAAUGGCGUUUUCGUAAAAGGUGCAAUUGUAAUAAAUAUGGGCUGGAGUUAUUAUUUUGAAUUAUAUAUAAAAUAUAUAAAAAAUGUUGAAAUUUUAGUGUGGAUGGUCAAGAAGUAUUUGUUAUUGAAGAGAGUUUUCAACAAAAUACAAAAGAAGAAAGACACCAGUGUGCAGUAUUUUAAUUAUACAGGAUGGUGAAAAAUAAACGUUAUGGUUUGAAACGAUAAUCUUUACAUGAUCUAUUUGAUAAUGAAUCAAAAUAGUUAAUUUUGAAAAUAAAUUUCAAUAAUUUUGAGUUAAUGUUCGAUUGUAUAUUCUCAAGGCUCCCCAAGUAAUAUAAAACACACAAAAUAAUUGAAAUAAGAAAGUUGUGCAAACCAUAAUGUUCAUUUUACGCCAUCCUUUUUACAAAAAUACACACAAAUGAUAUUUUUAGUAGCUUAAAAAAAACGAUUACCGAAAAAAUAAUAAUAACGGAUAAUGAUCAGAGAGAUCAGCAAAAUGCUAUUUUACAGGGGAAAACUGCUAAUAUUUGUGACAUAAUAUUGUAUUUAAAAAACAAAACAAAAGAAUUUAGAUUUUAA